ensembl:lncRNA
GCCGAGAGGAAACUCAAACCGCUGUUAGACCGGGUCAGAGCCCAGUUAGACCGGGCUAGACCGGGUCAGACCCGGGUUAGACCGGGCUAGACCGGGUCAGACCCGGGUAAGAGCAGAGAUAGCAGAAAGUGCCUCGGCCCAGUCAGUGGACUGAAGAAUGAGUGACCAACAGGAAGUGUCACAGUGCCACCAGCAGGUCCUGAGACCAAAGGACAGAAACAACACACACUCACUGCAAUUUUAGUCUAAAAUAUUUGACAACUUUGUUUGUUUGCAGCUAUAUAUUGUCAUCCAUAAAUCUCCUGCAGGAGCUCUUACAUCUACCAAACUUUACAAAUGGAUUUUUUUUUACAUGUCUAUUGGCAGUUGAACUCAUCACCGUGUGCCAUCGAUUUGAGCCUCCUCCUCCUCCUCCUCCUCCUCCUCACGUUGAGUUUAAGGUCAUGUUGGGUCCGUUGAAGGUCAUCUGCUGAAAUCGGACCCGACACUCACACCCACAGAAGAAG